CAAAGAAGAGGAGGGCUAUGAAGAGGAAGAGGACGCCAGCCCAGGGUCCUGAGGGCACAGCCUUCAUCAGUGCAAGUCUCUCCGCUGGUACCAUACUGCUCAGACUCAGCAUGUAGCCCAGAGCCCAGCCGACAGACGCUCCUCCAGCCUGCAGACACACGAGACCAGUGAUGGUUGGCAGUGAGCGCUCAUCGAAGCCAUAUCCCUCCGUCAAGAGCACCUGGACGAAAUUGGCGACGGCACAGACGUUCUUCAUGUGCUUCUCUUGCUGCUUCGUCUUCUCACUCAGCUGUGGGUAAAAAUAAAGGGAUGACACAUCAGACAAUCAACAUGUACCCCAGUGCAAAGAAGAGGAGGGCGAUGAAGAGGAAGAGGAGUGAGAAGACGAAGACUUUGAGGCGCGUUAGGCUCGGCAAGUGUGUGAGUGUGUGGUACCGUCCCACUCUGAAAUCAUCAGUGCGUGAGCGCAACAGCCAAUAGUGCACUUUUCCUCCAUCCAUAUCAGUGCAGAGUCUUCAGGGGGG